UGAUUUUACUGUUGUGCUACUUCAUGGUCCGUGAAUAAGCCUUUGGCUAAACAACAAGGAUUUGAAAAUCAGAUGCACUGACUGUGUUUCAACACUAGAGGUUACCAUGAAAGCAUUGGUGGCCAGCGGGGAGGGGGGUCACUCAAGAAAUACUGGGCCAAAAGCACUGAGUGCUUUCUGGCAUCUACUUGGAAUAAUUCCCCCACCCACCCACCGUUAAGAAGCUGAGACAGUGCAGAACAUUUGUUACACCUUUACUACUGCAUAUUUUGUCUUUCUACCUGUGCAAAAUUAAAAGAAAGCUUCUAUGGAUCAUACAUUCCCUUCAGAACAGAGGCAGCAAAAGGUGUAGAGUGAUUUAGAAUGAUGAUGAUAGUCAGCACUUGGGAAGGCCAUGUGCCACUAAUGUUUAACCAUUUUGCUACAGUUUGCUAUUCUUUUGCAUGUCAUACACACACACACCCAAAUUUCCAGAUGACCAUGUACGUAAUCAGCACACUAGCUAAUAAGAAAAAUAAAUUAUAUUGGUCAUGAAACUGUUUUUGGACCAUAGCUUGCUUCCGAUCAGAGAUGGGCAUGAAUCACUGGUUCAUUGGUUUGUAAUGGCUUGUUCUUGGGAUGCAUAGGUGUUCCAUAUGUUCCCUCCCCACCUCUUUGGGUAGGCGCCCACUCAGAGAAGGAGGCAAUAAAGCCCGGACAUGCCUUUGAAUGGCAGCAGAGAUAAGGGCCAGGCAAUAUGGAGUAUAAAGGCUGCUGCAAGAUUAAGAAGGUGGAAGAAAUAGAUCUGUCUCUAAGACACACGCACAAGACGCACAAGAGCAGCUGCUGAGCAUUAUCACAGGCUGAAUAGAUGUUUCGUAACCUUUUCUCUUGAAGGAAGGAAGGAAGGAAGGAAGGAAGGAAGGAAGGAAGGAAGGAAAACUUCAUGCUCAUCUCCUUGUACAUCUUAAUUAGUUUGGAAGGAAGGAAGGAAGGAAGGAAGGAAGGAAGGAAGGAUCAAUUAAAAAGACUGCAUAUGAGAGGAUAUGAGAGUGACAGUGGGAGUGUGGAAUAUUGGAAAAAUACCAGGAAAUAUUCAGUGAUGUGGUGUGGCUACGAAAGAGGGCACUUGCCCACCUGAAAGAAUGGGAGAUUAUAAUGCAAAGAAAAAGAGGAGAUAGGAAUGAAUGUGCUGGAUCUAGAAGAUAAUGUCUUUGGAAUGCAGGGAGAUGUCCAGGGAGAUGACACUUUGUCAUUGGUUAAAAACUGAAAUGAGGCCUUACAAAUAGCAGAGAAGGGAAACAAAAUGCAAGGGAGAUAGGGAAAGUUACAGAAUAUUGAAUGCGGACUUCCAAAGAAUAGCAAGAAGAGACAAGAGGGCCUUCUUAAUUGAACAGUGCAAAGUUAUAGAGGAAAAUAAUAGAAAGGGAAAAACCAGAGAUCUGUUCAAGAAAACUGAAAAUAUUAAAGGAACAUUUUGUGCAAAGAUGAACAUGCUAAAGACAAAAAUAGUAGGGACCUAACAGAAGCAGAAGACAUCAAGAAGAGGUGACAGGAAUACACAGAGGAAUUAUACCAGAAAGAUCUA
ensembl:lncRNA